CUUUUCCAUCUCUUCUUUCUCUCAAACGUGAAACAGAGGAGUCAGGGAGGCGACCAGCGACAGCCACGACCGUAAUCCAGGCCAGGAACACCGGCGACGAAGGCUAUCACCGGAGACUGAAGAAGACGACCAGGACUCCAGGAGCAAACUGAUUGAUGACGGUCGCCGCCGACUUCUGCUACCAAAAAUCCCAAGGUUUUGUUUCUUGAAUCUUCUUCCUGAACGAUCAGUUAACCUACCUUGCGCACAGAGGUACAUGUAACUCGGCUUCAGGUCCUAGCCAAAUCAGUCCUACUGUGCGGCACAGGUAACAACACACGUACAGCUGCAGCCGAAGAAGGAGUUAUGUGAUAUGUGGAGUACGUGCAGAUGGAGGCAACAGUGGGAGAUGGAGCAGAAUAAGAUUAGAAACCAUGUUCCAGUGUGUCACUAUAUUGAUUCGGCAUUUGGUAAGUAUGUGUCCGCUGGUGUUACAAUAAUGCUAGAGUGUGCAAAAUAUUAUGCCAUUAUGAUCGUGACUUCAGUGCAAGAAUUUUGUAGCCGGUGAUAUGCAUGUUUGAUAAGCUUUUGGACACUAGCCUACUGAAAACCAAGGUGCCAAAUCAAUGAUUGUUCAUCAAAUAAAACCCAUGUUUAUAUGUAUACCUUUGAGUUAAUUUCACUCACGGACCUGUAUAACAUUCUAUAGUUACUGCAGCUAUGCGCCUGGACAUUAAAAUUUAUUAUGUCUUUAAUGGCAGGAAAGUAUACAGUCUGUAAUCUUUUGUUAGUUGGAUUCGCAGUAGUGUUACACCCACCAUGUUAAGUUCCAGGAUUCAAGAUGAGGUGGAGGUCCAAGUGAGAGUGCAAACAUGUUUCUGCGGUCACCUAAAUUUUCUUAGUGUCUAGAGAUUUUGUAUUCUCUCUGAUGUUCUUUGAACUCAUGAUGUCCAAGAUUGCCCGUUCGAUAUGAAUUAGAAAAGAAUAAAUGUACUAAUUCGGUUGUUCCCUAGGUUCCUUGCCACCUAGAGGAGCUGUAGAAUUUUACUUGUGGGGGAAAAAGUACACAUGUGAUGAUUUGAGUUAAAAAAACAUAGAAGGAUUUGGCUUUCGUACUAGGUUGUUUACUACCAUGAGGAGCUCCAGAGGCUUAACAAAAGCACUUAGCUUAAAGUUGUGGUUUCCGGUUCUUGUGUCUGAGACAUGGCACAUGAAUUUCAGUGACCAUUAUUUGCAGGAAAUCAGUGAGACGUUUGUGUAGUACUAUCUUCAUAUUAAUUUGUUCACAAGACUAUUCUUAGAGGUGUAGUUAAUAACAUUGGCCAUCAUAGCUGCAUCAGUAAUAAUGUUUUCCAUAGCAUUUUCUUCACAAUAUUAUUUUUUUGUACUCUUUUAGAAUAUCUAAAAUACAUGUACAGGACCCCAUUGAAUGUUGGUGUGAUGUAGUUGCAAACAACGGUUAUCACAGCCUCAUAGGUGCCUCAUCUAGAUGUUUGUCUUAUAUGUAGUAGUGUGUAUUCUCUCACUCUUUUCAACCAUUCUCCAUCUAAACAAGUGACACGAUGCUAAAAGGUUUCUUCAGCUCGGAGUAUUAGUAAGUAAAUACUCUUUUGUAUGUAUAUAUUAUAUAGCUGUAAAGGAUUUUUUGAUAUAUAUUUUACUGUUUAAACAGCCUUGGAAGAACCCUUGAUUUAUUUGGGAAAAGAAAGUGGAUGCACCAUGUGAGUUAUUUGGAACCUUGAUGUAGCAAAUUAAUACAUAUAUGACCUUCAGCAGAAGCUCAUCUAUUUAAUAUAAAAAGUAAAUGAUGGGUUAACUAGAAAAAGAAAGUACAUUAGAAAUUCUAACAAAAAUUAGAAACAUCUAGCAUUAAUUUAAUAACUCGGGAAACCACAGCCAAUAGAUCUCAACAAUUACCUAUUAUUGUUACAAAUGAAAGAAAAUUACCCACCUAUGCCAUUACUAUUUUCCUACCAUACAUAUGUGCAUAAACAAAAUCAAUCAAAGGUUGUCUGCUAUUGCAGCCGGGAAAAAAGGCACUAGAAAAAACAGAAAGAGAACUCCUCGUGAAAAAAAGGGAAAGAAAGCUGCAGGCUAUACAUCCUUCUGUGGCCGCCAUGUCCAAUCUAUAUGCGCCUGCCAUGUCUGAUCUGUAUGCCCUUGACAUGUCCUCCCUUCUUCAUGAGUUUGAUCUGCCUGGCCUCCUUCUCCAUGAGUUUGAUCUGCCUUGACCUAUUCACUAAUCUGCAAAUAGGAGUAAUCUACAAAAAGUUGACCUAUCUGCUGCCAAAAAUCAUCAAGUACCGUGGUUCCGAACGAUGUUGUGUAUGGGCUUUAGUUGUCCGCACACACCGGGUAAGAAAAUCGCUUCAUGCAUCGCGACUGAAAGCAAGCUCUAGGUAUUGGUAACUACUAAUGUCUUCUGAUUCCUCUGUAUAUAAUACUAAUUGUCUCCAGAUUUAUUUAAUCAUUGGAUUAAUCCUUUGCUUUCUUACACAUUGCCCAUGCAGGGGAGACCAAUCAAUCAACUAAAUAGAAGAGUUGUGCUCAUAAUGGCUUGCAUGCAACCAUAAUAUGCAUGGAACAUGAGGUGCCGACAGAGUAAGAUCGGUGUUCGUAGAUUACUGGACAUCAUUCAGAAUCCACACUGGAAAGCUACCAGACUUGAUGGAUCAAUCGAAUCAAUCGACUACUUGCAUCUAGCAACAUGAUACUCACACUGAUCGGUUUUAAUUGCGCCUGUUUCCAUGUUUUCCACUACAUGAAUGAGCAGUCCAAGCGUUGGCAACAUGCCUCCCCUGUUUCACCUAAUAGGGCAUCAUGUGCCCGUACAAAGUAGAAACUAACGUCACAAGAGAAGUCCUUCGCCGCCACACGAUCAGGUGCAACACCAAGAGCAAAAAAGUUGGUUGCCGGACAUGUGAUUUUAUAAGCUGCAGCCGCCGGGGAAGGCCAAUGACGAUGUACCCCUACAAGCAAAUACAUAGUCAAGAAUUUUUUUAGGAGAAGACCAAUGUUGAUGCGCCAGGGCAAGAAGUACAGAUAGUCUAGGUUACCUUUUUCUUUGGAGAAAUUGAGUUGAUUAUGACCUUCUACUUGUAGCUCAUUUCUUUAUAAAAUUUACCUAUGGAUCAAGCAGAGUAAGAGACCACACACACUGAUCCGUGAUCAAUAUUUCAAUUUAUGACC